GCCCUUGGACAGCUUCUGCUAUGGCCGCAUCUCCUCCUUCGGUGCCUUUGACAGCAGCACCUUCCGCCUCUCCGUGGAGGAUCGAGACCUGCUCUUUGAGACCUCCCAGGUGGAUGAGAUCGCCCAGCUCCUCAACACGUACCUCGCCUCUGCGGGUGCCCAGCGGCUGCCCCGGCCCCAGGAGCCUCCCACCGGUCGCCCCACCUCGGAGCCCACUGUGCUGCCCCAGGGGCUCUGCCCUGCAGCCGGGCCCUGGCAGCACCAGCCCCCAGUGGGUUCCUCCCACAGCUAGCCCAGCAGCUGAUGUGGCCACGCAGGUGCUCCAAUGGCCGGCGUGGGAGGGCAGCCAAGCCUGGCAGCGAGUGGCAGGUCUGUGCUGGCCCCCAGCUGCUCCAGAGAGCAGGGGGCCAGGGGGUGGUGCUCCCCCCACUGCCAUUGCCUUUCUGGCUAUUCCUUAAUUUAUUUUGAGACGCCUGCGUGCCCCAUGUCUCCCAGCACUUUCCCUGGUGGGCAGCGGGGCCGCCCCGCUGCGGUUCCCUUCACUGCCCCCAGGCCUGUCCCCGUCCCCUAUACCCUGGUGCCUUUGCCUGCAGCACUUGUGUUGCCUGGCCACUCUGCUCGUGCCCCGGGGGCUUUGCCCAGAGCAGAGGGUACCAGGCAGUAGUGCUGUGCCAUCAUCUGUCUGUCCGUCCUCUGGACCCACCCCUUCGGGAAAGCUGCGGGCGGCUUUUGGCCAAGCUGCCCCGGGGACCCGCGGGCUCCUCCUGCACGAGUGGCUGGGCUCUGAGGUGUCCCUGUGGCCAGGUUUAUGUCACAGGGGUGGCUGGUGGAGUGGCAGCUGGUACGGCUGGGGCUCAGCCCCUCAGUAUUGCCUCUGUAGAGUUUGUUGGUUCUGUCUUGGGAUGGGGGGGGUUGGUUGGUUGUUUUUCUAAAUAAAUGCACAAAGGAAAGGCUG